GCCGGAAUAGCUCAGCUGGUAGAGCAACGCAUUCGUAAUGCGUGGGUCGGGGGUUCGAUUCCCUCUUCCGGCACCA
rnacentral:tRNA from 2 species